CUCAGAGUUAUCCAGACAAGUGAUGCAUCCGUCAGUGUAGCCAGUACAACACUGGCCACAGCUCUCUGUAUAACUCCUGUUGAGGAUUGUAUUAAUCGCCUUCGUCCUUUUAUUGACCAAACACCUUCAUCGCUCCAAGGCUGCUGAGGAGUUGAUCAAACGAUUGAUAUGUUUCACCUUCCUCCUGUUCCCACCCUCCUCCUCCUCCCGGCCAGACCUUUGCCUCCGCCCCCUGUGGUUCUUCAAGGAAUUGAUCAACGGAGGUUUGUGUUAGCAUCAAGUGGUCCUUCUUUUGUCUCACUGGUCAACAACAGAUCACCCCCCCCCCCCACUGUGAGGUGAAGGAACCCUUUCCCUGCCUCUCGCCCCUCCCUGCCGUUUCCGUAUCUCGGACCCCCACUUUGAGUUGAUGAACAUGUUUAACCUUCAUGUUGUCGCGCCCCCCCCCUUGCCCCACAUCGGGGCCUGUCCCUCCACCUCUCUUGAGGAGUUGAUUGAUCAGUCCGUGUGUAUCACAGCCCGCCGACGCAUCCGCCUGGGGGUUUGUGAUUGGCGUGAUUUGAAUAAUAGUAACCCGAUAGGGAUGAGUUGGUUAGACCCUUUUGAAUGUUAAUGGCUAAUGAUUGGAGGUCUCUGAUAGCCCCGCCCAGAGAACAAUGAUGGGAGAGCACGCGGGAAUCACGCAGAAAGGCAGAAGUUAAGUAAACAUGGAAGGAAUGUGGUGGAAGUUUUGGGUGAGCCUACAAAUAAAGGUUUGAACGUGAAGCAUCAACUCAGCGUUCAGCUUGAGAGAAACAGUCUUGGAAACAUGCACCGUCAUCAGAUCAUUACUCCUACACCCCCCAUAUCCAUAGGGGAUAUGAUGCAGUCAUGUACCAUUCACUCUUCAGUCAUUUAGUGGACACUUUUAAAAUAAAGCGACUUCCAGUCACCAAACUAUUUUGGACACGUGUCAUUGAUGAGCCGGUAGGGCUGAGGCCUCUUGCUGAGGGAACAGGUAGACUGUGGUCAUCGUGGUGCCACCAGGUACACUGUGGUCAUCGUGAUGCCACCAGGUAGACUGUGGUCAUCGUGAUGCCACCAGGUAGACUGUGGUCAUCGUGAUGCCAACGGGUAGACUGUGGUCAUCGUGAUGCCACCAGGUAGACUGUGGUCAUCGUGAUGCCACCAGGUAGACUGUGGUCAUCGUGGUCACAAUCCUGAAUCUGAGCUGCAUGCCUAGGUAAAUGUCACAGGGCCAGAUGUACAGAAUAUAGCUUGUGUGGCUUUAUGAUGACCUACACACCCCUGUUCAGAGGGUUGUGUGGUUAUUUAUAGACCUUCACGGAGUCCUCCACCUUUACUUUACAAUAACUAUCCAACAGUGAGUGUGUGUGUGUGUGUGUGAGUUUUUGCUACCUCUAACCCACCCUCUAGCCCUCUCUCCCUCACUCUCUCUUCCCGUCUCUCGCCCACACUUACCCAUUCUCUUGCCCUUUAACUCACUCCACCCCUCUCUCUCCUCCCCCCCCCCUUUCUGUUGUACCCAAUCCCGCUCGCACAAUUUAACCGACCUCUGCGCACCUCUGAUAAGAAACCUUGACUGCCCUUCUCACUCUC
ensembl:lncRNA